GUUGGGAAGAUGAAGAAAAAGAGUAUCUAAGGGCGUUGGGCAUGGGAACAUGGAGGAAAGAAUGAGCUAUGAUCAAUAAGGGGGAUUCAAGUUCUUUUUCUUUCCCAAUGCCUCCCAUGCCUAUUGUUCUUAGGUGUUCCUUCCUCUUCCUGGGACUU
rnacentral:pre_miRNA from 2 species